rnacentral:lncRNA from 1 species
UUAGGGUUCAUGUUGCACUCCCUAAAGCCUCCACUAGAUGUCAACAGUCUUUAGAACCUUGUUUGGGGAUUCUAUGUUGAAUUUGAAGGGAAUAACAGCCCAAGGAAGUAGGUGUCCCAUUAUAAGGCAUGGGUUCAGUCACGCGCAGGGACUUGGGAGCGAGCUGAGUUCACAUUCAUUCCUAAAGAGAACGGAUAGGUCCGGUUGGAAUUUUAUUGAAGAUAUGUGUUAAAAACAACCUAAAGAUUGAUUCUAUACAUCGUUUGACGUUUCUACAAACUGUAGUAGAACUUUUUUGACUUUUCAUCUGGACUAAGUAAGCACGCGCCUUGUGGAUUUGGAUAGUGAACCUAACGUGUGAACAAAAUGUAUGUAUUUGGACAUAAAGAUAAACUUUAUCAAACAUUUAUUGUGGAGCUGAGAUUCCUGGGAGUGCAUUCUGAUGAAGAUAAUCAAAGGGACCAGAAAAGAAGGGAAGCGAGGCGGAGGAGUGGCUGUGGUGGACAUCUAUCACUGAAUGUGAAUUGGCGAGCUCUGGGCACUGGGGUGCUAAGGCAAGGUACUGCAUGGACAAUUACUGAUGCCAAAGUAAAAGUAAGAAAAGGAGGGAAAAUGACAAGAGGAAGAAAAAAGAGCAAAGAGAGGGGAAACUGAGAGACUUCCAGUCCAAAAGCUUCCACCUCGUUGGUGUGGUAUACGUUUCUGCGUGUGACAGCAGAGAAUGAUUCAUAUCCUGUGAUGCGUAUGGUUUUGACAGUAUGAGUUAUUCCCCUCCCUUUGGCUAGAUAGUCUUUUGUGUUGUGUUGGGCUGGCUGAGGAAGGGGAGGUCAGUAGGAUGAAAUGGAAGCUUUUCUAUCACUGCUCCACUGGUCUGAGUCGGCUUGCCAGGAGGAGGAAACAGGCGGGACGACCUCAAUGGUCUCUCUGUACUCUCUGUACUGUACCUCACGCACACACACACACACACACACACACACACACACACACACACACACACACACACACACACACACACACACACACACACACACACACACACACACACACACACAGAGAAACAGUCAUCAUUUACCACUUCCUGUUUCUACCAGCUCUGACAGUCAAACGUCAAAUUUAGAAGUUGUUCAAAAAGUCAAAUUUACAAGUAUUUAAAGUUAAGUUUAGGCAUUAACACAAAAAUCUUUAAUUUAGGGUUACGUUUAUGCAUUAACUGCACAUUUUUAAGGUAUAAGUUAACCUCAAUUUCUCAUUCUUAUUAUAUUAAUUCUCAUUCUUAUUAUAUUAAUUCUUAUUAUAUUCAUUCUCAUUAUAGUAAUUUUCAUUUUUAUUAUAUUAAUUAUCAUUCUUAUAUUAAUUCUCAUUCUUAUUAUAUGAAUUACCUUUCUUGUUAUAUUAAUUCUCAUUCUUAUUAAAUUAAUUCUCAUUCUUAUUAUAUUAAUUCUCAUUCUUAUUACAUGAAUUUACCAUUGUUAUUAUAUUCAUUCCCAUUCUUAUUAUAUUCAUUCUCAUUCUUAUUGUCACGGUUGUUGUAUGAUGAAGGAGCGGAUCAAAGUGCAGCGUGUGUAUCGUUCCACAUUUUCUUUAUUAAACUGUGAAACUAUGCAAUACAUACAAAUAAACUGAAGAACAAAAAACAACAAACCGUGACGAAGAGGUGAAACUCACACUAACUCAAAAACAAUCUCCCACAAACCCAGGUGGAAAAAACAACUACUUAAGUAUGAUCUCCAAUUAGAGACAACGAUGACCAGCUGCCUCUAAUUGGAGAUCAUCCCAAAAAAACAACAUAGAAUUACAAAAACUAGAACAUAACAACAUAGAAAAUCUAAACUAGAAAACCCCCCUGUCAUGCCCUGACCUACUCUACCAUAGAAAAAUUUGUAAGUCGCUCUGGAUAAGAGCGUCUGCUAAAUGACUUAAAUGUAAAUGUAAAUGUAAAAUAACAGCUUUCUAUGGUCAGGACGUGACACAUAUUUUAUUAAUUCGCAUUCUUAUUAUAAUAAUUCUCAUUGUUAUUAUAUUCAUUCUUAGUAUAUUCUUAGUAUAUUCAUAAAUAAAAAGUUACAUGCAACUGAAAAAUUGGAGGAGCAGAAGAGGUGGGUCUGGCGCAUGUGCACCAAAAACAAAAGGUAUUUUUCCGGUUGCAUGUAACUUUUUAUUGAGAUCUUUUUGAAGUGCAUACCGGCCGUAGAGACAGUAAUGACGAUAGUUUCACUCCAUUCUUUGGUAAGUAAAGAACAAAUUUGUACAUUAUUAAACUUUAAAUACUGGUGAAUGGCAUGUUGAAAGGCUGUUUUCUGGGCUUAAAGGAGAAUCACCCACAUUCAAUGUCUCCUGUAAACCCAGAUUCUAGUUCAUAUUUACUGUAUGUUUUGACCUGCACAAUCUCAAACAAACGUCGGGCUUUUCAGUGUUUGAAAAGAAGGAUAAGGAGCAUUCCAGUAAAACAGUUGAUGUACUGUCCUAUAUGUGUUCUGGGACAAGAUAGGGACCCAACAUUUCUGUCAAUGUCCUCAAGUAUUUAUGAUCAACAUGUCCUGAGUCAAAUGAUCAACGAUGCAUCGACAGUUCCAUAAUUUCUUUACAACUUCCCAGUAGAUUAGGAUUGGCCUUUGACCACCGACGACAAACCACCUUUAGGAUUAGGAUAGGUCUUCGACCACCGACGACCAACCAACCUUAG